rnacentral:rRNA from 1 species
ACAUACGGCCAUAGGUAGCUGAGAACAAGGGAUCCCGUUCGCUCUCCCCUAUUUAAGCAGCUAACCGCGAGACUAGUACUCAGGUGGGUGACCACUGGGGAAUCCCUCGUGUUGUAUGUUUUG